rnacentral:rRNA from 1 species
GCGAGUCAUUGUAGCAUACAAGGCAGACGGCUCAGUAACGCGUAGUCAAUCUACCCUAUGGACGGGAAUAACCUCGGGAAACUGAGAAUAAUGCCCGACAGAACAUUAUACCUGGAACGGUUUAUGUUUCAAAUGAUUUAUCGCCGUAGGAUGGGACUGCGGCCUAUCAGUUUGUUGGUGAGGUAAUGGCCCACCAAGACUAUUACAGGUACGGGCUCUGAGAGGAGUAGCCCGGAGAUGGGUACUGAGACACGGACCCAGGCCCUAUGGGGCGCAGCAGGCGAGAAAACUUUGCAAUGUGCGAAAGCACGACAAGGUUAAUCCGAGUGGUUUCUGCUAAAGAAACCUUUUGCUAGUCCUAGAAACACUAGUGAAUAAGGGGUGGGCAAGUUCUGGUGUCAGCCGCCGCGGUAAAACCAGCACCUCAAGUGGUCAGGAUGAUUAUUGGGCCUAAAGCAUCCGUAGCUCGUUUUGUAAGUUUUCGGUUAAAUCCAUACGCUUAACGUAUGGGCUGCCGGGAAUACUGCAUAACUAGGAAGUGGGAGAGGUAGACGGUACUCGGUAGGAAGGGGUAAAAUCCUUUGAUCUAUUGAUGACCACCUGUGGCGAAGGCGGUCUACCAGAACACGUUCGACGGUGAGGGAUGAAAGCUGGGGGAGCAAACCGGAUUAGAUACCCGGGUAGUCCCAGCUGUAAACUAUGCAAACUCAGUGAGGCAUUGGCUUGUGGCCAAUGCAGUGCUGCAGGGAAGCCGUUAAGUUUGCCGCCUGGGAAGUACGUACGCAAGUAUGAACUUAAAGGAAUUGGCGGGGGAGCACCACAAGGGGUGAAGCCUGCGGU